rnacentral:lncRNA from 10 species
ACCCAGGUGCGUCGUCCCAGACACCCGAUGUUACAAGACCGUUAUAAAAAGUCUCAUUUUCACUGUUCUUCGUGCCUCUAAGUCCAUUCUUUGGGUUUGAACGGGUGAGUGUGUUUCUCACAACCUGAGGGCCCGUUCGGGAUCUCUGUGCCUACGUGGAGUGGGACUCCGGCUGAGAGAAGAGACAUGUCCCACCCGAUUUUUGUGCCCCACUCUGUCUGGGUGUCCUGGCUCCCCACAGAAGCCAUAGAUAAACCCGAGACUGUUAUUCAGGAGACGGUGGAGGUGACGCAGGGAGAAAAGCAGGCACUGCGGCAAACAGGCAACCUCGUGCACCAGCCAAGGUUGGGUAUUUCCUUCAGCCUAUUAAAGGAAUUGGGAACCUGUGGUACCGGAGAAAUAGCCUGCAGACCAGAGAAUAAGGAAAAGUUGUUUCCUGCCAAAGAACAAGCAGUAUUGUGAAAUAUAAAAUUUUAUUGUUGCGGUGAAAGAAAAUUUCAGUAUCAAAUUUUUGAAAACAGCAUUGCAUGCUACUCCCUCAAACCUUUUUCUGGUAUCAACAACACAUCUUGGCUGGUGGAAACUGCUUAAUAACAUUUGCAUGAAAAUGUGUUUAGUCAAGGUACCCUUUUCUCCUCUGGCCAAAUAUCAGCAUUCAAUCUAAUACAAAACACUUGAAUUCUCUCUGGCAGAAAAUGCAAUCCUGAGGGAUACGACAAAAAAAAAUAAAAGCUAUUUUCUGCCUGAUUAAUCUGUUCAUUAGCUUCUAAUUUCUAGAUCCCUGUAGCUACAAAAUGCCUGUCCUUCAGAGACUUAGGCCAAUUUUGCCUAUAAGCCUAUGAGUUAGCAUAUGUCUUCACAGUAUCUUGGAGUGGCUGGAGGUAGAGUGAUAUAUUAGCCAGAACUGGAGUCUGUUAUUUGCAACCAAGAUACCUAAAUAAUAUUAUUAAAAAGUAUAAUAUUGACCAAAAUAUAGAUUUCUAGGACAAAUUUGUACAUUCAGUGAAAGGAAAAGCACAGUUAAAAUCUGUAUAGUUUCAAUGAAAGACUCAUCCUCUUCGGUUUGGUUUGGGGUGCCUUUAUACUUAGGAUUUCUCUGCUCAAUCUUUCAUUUCUACUACCAAGUGCAAUAAUAUAGGUUAAGAAUCUUUAUUGGACUGGGAAGGAAGUACCCACUCCUUGAUUAUCCCUUUAUCCAGGCUUGUAAACUAAGGCAAAACCGGGCCUUGACACAAAGAAAAGAAGGAAUGAAGAAAGCUGUUUUAUAUUUUUUCUUAGUUAAAUCAUGAAACUCAAAACUAAAAAAAAAAAAAAAGUCUCCUGGGCCCACACUUGCUUAAUGCAAAAUCAGAAAAUGUACGGAACUCCAAACAAAUGCUAGCAAUCCACUGAAAUCAUCAUUUGAAUUAAAACUAUAUUUAGUCUUCAUAAGCCUAACACAGUUCACAUUAAAUUUCAAAGGUGACUCCUAAUUACACAUAUGCAAUCUUACAAAUCAAUAGAGAAAUUCAGGCAAUCCCAUAGAUGUAUGAGAAAAUGAAUUGGAUAGGCCUUUUAUAAAAUGUAAUAUCCAAAUGGCCAAUGAACACAGAAAAUGUGAUUAUUUUAUUGGUCAUAAAAAUACAAAUUAAAACUAUAAUAUCCUACAAAUCUAAUGUAAAGCAAGGUGACUAUUGUGAAUAAUACUGUAAUGUAUACUUGAAAUUUGCAAGAGUAGGUAUUAAAUGUUUUCAUCUUUCCCCCAAAAUUGAUACCAAUGUAAGAUGGUGGAUAUUUUAAUUAGCCUGAUUGUGGUAAUCAUUUAGCAAUGCAUACAUAUACAAAAACAUCGUGUUGUACACCUUAAAUAGGUAUAAUUUUUUUUUUUUUUUUUUUGAGACGGAGUCUUGCUUUGUUGCCAGGCUGGAGUGCAGUGGUGCGAUCUCCGCUCACUGCAACCUCCGCCUCCUGGGUUCAAGCGAUUCUCCUGCCUCAGCCUCCUGAGUAGCUGGGACUACAGGCGUGCACUACCACGCCCAGUUAAUUUUUUGUAUUUUUAGUAGAGGCGGUGUUUUACCAUGUUGGCCAGUAUGAGAUACAGUUUUUAUUUGGAAUUAUUAUACCUCAAUAAAGCUGAGAGAGAGAAACCUAUAAUAUUCUACUAUUACACAGCUGUUAGGAUUGCUAAAAUGAAAAUGAGGAAAAUAAGAAGUAUUGGCAAGGAUAUGGAGCAACUUAAAUUCUCAUAUGUAGCUGAUAGAAAUGUAAAACUGAUAGGCAGAAUAUGUUAAAAGGAGUGUAUAAAUAUACUGUAACUCAAUAAUUUUACUACCAGUUAUGUUCUCAUGUAAAUAUGUAAUAUGUUCUCAAAAUGUUAUAUACAGGGAUUUUAAAAGUGACACUACUUAUACUUGCCCAAAAGGAAACCAAUACAAAUGUUAUCAAAAACACAUUGAUACAUAAAUUGUAUUACAUUUAUACAACAAAAUAAUACUUUACCGCAAUGAAAAUGGAUAAACUACAAUUACAUACAACCAUAUGGAUGACUCUCAACUGCAUAGUGUUAAAUGAGACAAGUCAAUUCAAAAAGUACAUGUAUAUUGGAUGAUAUCAUUUGCAUAAUAUUCAAAAACUAAUUAUGAGGCUACAAAUCAGAAUACUGGUAAGGCUUGGGGAGAGCAGUAUUGAGAAGAGGGAAGGAGAGAGUGUGCAGUUUCUGGAGAAGUUCUGUUUCUUGUUCCUCUUGCCAGUUACACCAUUGAAUUCAUUUAGUGAAAAACUUAUCAAACAACCUACUUUUUAUUGGUGUACUUUUCUAGGCACAUGAUGUACUUGGAUAAAAUAUUUACUGUAAAAAUAAGUGGCUGAAAUAAAAAUCAGUGUUACAGAUCUUGAAUAUUUCCUGUGAAGAGACAAAGCUUACAUGACAUUAGUGAGCAAAAAUUUGUUUACUUGUAAUAUUGUACCAAUUAUUAAAAACACUUCCCAUAUCUCAUCUACUGUCUAUCUUUCCUUGAUAACCCUUAGUGCAGUGAAAUAAAAUCUUAGUAAUCAAUUAUUGUUGGCUGAUGCAAAAAGGACAGAAUUAGUUCUAAG